GUGGCAGGGGUUGCCGUGAUGUUGUCAUAGUAAUAGUCUUCUGUGGAAUAUGUGGAAUCGUAGUAAUUGCCUGGAAUGGAAACAGCUCCAGCCCCGGUUAUCCCAGCUCACUCCUGUGGCUUUUGGAAAAUAGUAAAAAUGCUUUAAAAAAGGCAUUUCUCACUUAAAUGAGCCAUGUAGUCGUAUAAAUCCUGUGCCAUCUCCUCCAAGUCAUCUUCGAGCUCCACUUUCCCUGCAAGCAAAGGAACAGCGCGUGGAUCAUCGCGGGAGCCGCGGGCCGGGCCGUGGGCGCGGGGUCAUGUGAAGUUCCACUGAUUUAUUGCUGCUCUGGGCCAAACCUGUUUCCUGUGGGACUGAUGGAUUCACAACCGACCCAUAAUCAGAUCCCAACUAAAGGUGUGGGAUCAAACCAGAGCCGGGGUUCUUCCUCCGCUUUUGGGUGUGGAUGAAGUGCGAGAUGCGCUGGUGGGGAUGGAGCCUCUGGCUGCGCUCCUGCGCGCCAGACCCAAAUCCCGGCUGGAUCUCCCCUGGGAUCCUCAUCCAGGAUCCAGCUGCUCCAGCGCCUCUGGCUGUGGAGCUGCCAAGGACUCAGAAGGGACCCUCGUGUUUCCUUAGGGCUGAGCCACUGUAAAUAAAUCCUGACCCUUGUGGCAUUGUCACAGCUGGAGCAAGCGGCUCAUUCCCUAUUCCAAACAUAAGGUUCUUGCAUUUUGGGAGGAUUUUUUAAAGCAAAUUAAUUGGAAACAUUAAUGUUCUGAUAGUCGCAGGUUCAUACAUUAAGAUACUAAUGAGAAUGGAAGAUAUGGAAUAAUAAGAUAUUUUUAUA